ACACAGGCGCACACACACACUGAGUAGAGUGUGAUGAUGACUGGGUUUCCUCCUCUUUGCCAAGAGGAAUACAAUGUUGGCAACUUCUUCCUCCCUCUAGGUUACACUUGGGGCUAUUUUUGUGUUUACUGACACUUUAUUAGACCUUGUUCUUUCUUCACUGGUCUGCAAGUGCAUUACAUCUGCAUUUACAAUAUACAGUGCAUUUUACAUGUGUUGGGUAAUGCCUUUUGCUCUCUUUUACUCCUAACUCUGGUUUUGCCCAGCUCCAAAUUGUGAGUAUCUUUAAUUUACCAUUGGUGAGUACUUGCAUCCCUAGUGUUAUCCCAAGCCCCCUCUUAUCAGUCCAGGACUGAUUUGUCUAGACCACAUCCAGUGUUCCCACUUCGAAGGCUUUUGCUGUCAUACUUUGCCAUUGUUCCUAUAUAUUUGCACUGGUUGCUGUGUUUGAGUCCCAAAUACAUCCUUCUACGUAGAAUAGCCAGCUGCCACCACUAUAAAACUAUUACAUCACAUGACUAAAAUAUGCAAAAUUACACAGAAUGGGUAGUAUGUGUCUGAUCAUUAGAAAAAAAAAUGUUGUUACAUCUCAGCAAGCUAAACCAAGGUUUCCAGUCAGACUGAGACAAGUUUAGCCAAGGAGAACCAGACAACUAGUCAAACAUCGGACUAAAGAGACAUCACUUACAAAAAACGAUUAUCAAAAUAACAUUGUUUUCUAUAGGUAGCUGUAGAUUCUCUGUGGGGGCUUUCUUGCAAGGCACCACCAAAUUAAAAUAGGAGAAAGUUGUGUAUACUUAUGCUAUGGAUGCUGUGUCAAUCUUAAAAAGUGGUGUGAUCCAAAAUGAGCGGUGCUGUCAAACUGCGUUGGUGCUGGACAUUUCCAGGGCAGGGAUUGCUCUGGCCUUGCUGCAGUCUGUCCUCAGGCAGUGACUGCUGAUAGCAACCAGAAUUUGUUACCUGCACUCCUGAAGAACAGCUUGUGAUUUAGGGUCUUCUAGUAGAAAUCCUCUUCAUAAAACAUGAAGUUCUAUGAUGUGAACCAAGGUGCAGCAAGAGGGGAUGAUCCUUAUCUGAAUUAAAAUUGAAUUGAAUGCGGGUAGCAUGCAAAUGCCAGCCAGUGCUAGCAUAGGCAUGCCUUGUAUGAGUUCAAAACUGUGGUGUUCAAGCUCUUAAGUGGCAUUUUUUACUUACUGGAGCACCUUCAAGUAGCAAAGAAAGAAAGUAAGAAAUUAGCGCUGGAACCAGGGAACUAGACAAAACAAGUGAAAUGUGAGAGGAAUAUGAGAUUUCAUGAUAAAUGUACUUAGCCAGCUAGUGAGAGAUUUCUGCAAGGGCCAUGAUGAGAUAUUAAAUGUAGCUGCAAGAGACCAGGGUCAUCUACACUUAGAUCAAGCUGAAAAAUGUAAAAGCACUGCCCACAAACCUGGAAAAGCAUACACUCAUCAUUCAGUGGGAGGAAAAAAAAGAGAAAGUAACAAUAUUGAAAGACAAGUAUACUUCAAACUGAAUCUUAUUGUGUUAGAUCCAGUCCUUGUUUGUAAUGUCUUGAUUUCUUUUUUUGACAGUUGGGGCAAGGAACACUAGGCUAUGUAAAAUGCCAGCUAGCUUCUUGAAUUACAAAAGGCAGGGAGAAAAACAAGAUCUGAUUCUGUGGUGAAACGAUCCACUCAGAAAAUGCUUUUCAAUGUGAAAGUCUGCAUGCUAUUAACUGUAACCGUAAACCUGAGCUAAUAUAAUGUUGUGUUUAUUCCCACCGAGUGGGUUCCUGUGAGUCUGAUCUUUUGCAUCUCCUUAAUCCCUGCACAUGCUACUUUAUGCAUUUUCCUUUCUAACACUCUAGCUUUACUACCUGCUGUCUGUGUGCCACAUGCAAUUUUGGUAAGCAUGCAGGAUUAGCUUUUUAGCAGUAGCUAGCACUGGCUGGCAUUUGCAUGCUACCCGCAUUCAAUUCAAUUACUGACUGUGCACAGGGCAGUAAUUGCAGUUUCAGGAAGCUAAGGUUAAUGAGUAAAUUGAGUUUUAUGUUUUCCUGGGUCAUUAGAUACUGAUGGAUAAAAUGUAUUUGUAUAGGAGAUAUUUAAAUUGUGGAAAUUGUGCUAGACUGUGCUAGCAGCUCGUAAAGAAAGUUUAGGUGUCUGCUGAAAUUGAAAAUGUCUUUGAUAAUGAAACCCAGAGGAGAAUGGAAGAGAGCUAUUCUGUCCACUUCCACUUCUCUUUUCCCACCAAAUGGACACAGCAUGCAAUUUGGUCAGUGAGAAAAAGAGAACUUCAGUUUCUCUGCAAUAAGACCAACUUUUGCUAUGCAUUGCACGGCUCUAAGUAAGCAUCAUAAGUAAAUAUUAGUGUUAGAGAGACAAAAACAAAAAAGCAAAAAAAAAAGGGAGGUUUGUCUGAUGUAGGGGUCUAAAUGAAAAUUAGACAUUUGCCUCCAGGUGCCUGCCCAUCUCUGGAUAGGUCAGAAAGCAGUCCCUGCAGUACAUUAGUUAUCAGCUUGAUCAACAGGCAUCAGGCUUGAAAAUUGAAUCAGUCAUCUAGUUCUAAUCAGCUACCAUCUAGAAACUGAAUUCCUAUCAAAUCAAUAUGGACCCUUUUUGUAUGCUUCAGUUUUUUGAAAAACUUUAGGAAAUCAGUGGUUUCAGAGAAAGUCUAACUUGUCCCAGCUCUGCCAUGAGAGGAGGGGGUUAUGCUGCAGUAAUGGCUUUCUGGAAGUGGUGCGUCUUUUAAGGUCCUCACCUUCCUAUUAUAGCAAAACAUAAGAGUAAUUAAAACUAAUAAGAGGGAGAAUGCAAAUGUAAGUAGGUAUGUGGGACAGUCAAAACCUCACACCUCAAAUGUUGCACACCAGUCGGUAAUUCAGCUGAGGGUCAGAUCUACCCUGUGUCGCUUGCACCAUUCAGUGCCUCAUGCUUUCUGUCUCUUUACAUCUCCUCCGUCCCCUGUGAGGGGCUUCAGUGAAGAUAGACCACAGGGAGCUGGACCUGUUUCCUACCUCCUCUGGCACACUGCAAGUGUAGCACGUCUUGUCAGCCUCAUCUUUGAUCUCCCUUAAAAGCUCUUCAUUAGAAAGUAUAUCUCAGCCAUGGCUAGCACCUUGACCUCUCCCCUGAGAGCAUGACCCAUUGUGUCCCCUUCUUGUUUAUUUAACCCUGUACAAGGCUGUGUUAAAGGAGGGCUUGGAAGCUCAGUAACCACUUUAUCUGGGCUUUAACUGCUCAGUGUGCCUGGCCGCUGUUGCUUUGGGGAAGAGAAUUAGAGGAGCAUUUGAGGAGAAAACAGAUAAUGGAUAAUGGAUGAGGGUAUAUCACAAGUAGAUUGAGUUUAGACGAGAGAGUGAAAGGGGAGAAUUUAGGUGGGAGAGCAAAGGAAGACAUGAGACUAAUCAAACAAAUAUUAAUGGGGUACAGGGAGAGGUAAUUGUGCUCCUUAGUAUUAAACCUGUAUUGUCAGCCUGUCAGAAUUAGUGGGGGAGAUGCCUACCUUGUCAGCACUAGCUGAGCCUAGCUCCUGGUGUGCCCAAAUGAACCAUCAAACAGCCUCUUGCUGGUCAGAAGGGGGGCAGCUGAGCACUGCACAAGCUGCACACCAGUGCUUCUCUGGCAACCCCAGUGAGCAAGCAGGGCUCAGAUGCUUCGGUCGGGAUCCAAGGAGCUGUCACAUGAAAGUCUCAUGCACAUUUCAUACCUAUGGGAUGGGACUGCCAGGAGCCUCCAGAGCACUACUGCAGUGGGAGCAGAAGAAUUAGAGGGGGUGGGACGGAAGGAAGGCAGGCAGGAAGGAAGAAAGGGUAGCAUAGGAGCGAAAGCAUCUUUCAACUAAAGACUACCUGUAUGUACUUUGGUUGUUUCUGAAAUAUAUAUGUAGGGCUACUUCUGUGGUGGCACAGAAAACUAGCCCUCAGCUUUUGUUGAAACUAUGUCAAUUACACCAGUAAAACCUCUUUUCCUAGUAUUGCAAUAUUUGACAUGACGUUCCAUGUGAUGAGCAAGACAGUAGAACCAAAAGGGAGAUGCAUUAAUGUAGGUAAGUAUUUUCUACAUUGGUGUCCUGGUUUUGUCUGGGAUAAAGGUAAUUUUCUUUCUAGUAGUUGGCACAGUGCUGUGUUUUGAAUUUAGUAUGAAAGUAACAUGGAUAACACACUGAUAUUUCCAAUUGUUGCUGAGCAACUUGGAGUAAGUCAAGGACUUUUCAGCUUCUCGUGGCCUGCCAGUGAGAAGGCUGGAGAGGCACAAGAAGUUGGGAGGGGACACAUCCAGGACAGCUGACCCCAGCUGACCCAAGGGAUGUCCCAUGCCAUAUGGCAUCGUGCUCAGUAUAUAAACUGGGAGGGGAAGCUGGCUGCUCAGGAGCUGGCUUGGGUACCUGUCGGUUGGUGGUGAGCUGUUGCGUUGUGCAACACUUGAUUUGUAUAUUCUGAUUCUUUUAUCAUUACUAUUAUUUACUUCCUUUUCUGUUCCAUUAAACUAUCUUUAUCAGAACCCAUGGGUUUGAAUCUUCCUAUUCUCUCCCCUGUCCCACUGGCAGGGGGACAGUGACACAGGAGUGGCUGUGUGGUGCUUAGUUGCCAGCUGGGGUUAAACCACGACAAUGGGAUGAACCUACUUAAAGGCCAUUACAUUAUACUUUCUUGUUCCUCCCCUGUGGAUGGCCAAGUACCUAAGCAUAUGUCAAGUAGUUUGAAAAUGUUGCUGGCAUUCAGAAGGGUGGUGUCCUUGACCACUCACCUCUGGUAGAGCUGUAAUUAGGCAAUUCCUCAAGUUCUGAAUUGGAUUCGUGACAGCAUUUUCUCCUAUCUAUAGUUUAUGCUAAGCAACAUAACAAAGGUAUAUCUUGGCAUUUCUUUGCCUUAAUACCCCUUUUUUUUUUUUUAAAUUUCCACAUAAUAUUACCUACAUUUCACAGUCCUUCUGGUCAGAUGAGUGUGAUCUCUCACAAUGACUAGUAGUUAUUUUCUAAUAAUCCUAGUAUUUCCAUAACCGAGAUGGAUGUUUCUAAGGGAAUGACUACAUGUGUGCUUGCAGCUGUGUUCAAAACAUAGUACAGCCAAAGACUGUCAUGAGUGUAAGUUACACACCCAAAAUUUAGUUCCAAAAAGUGUUGGGGCUGCAUUUUAAGACCUCGUUUUAGUUCCUAGGCCUCUUCAUGCAAAUAAAAAUUCUUGAUGUUGCAGGAUUAGUCAAUGGCAAAACCCAGCGGGAAGAUGAUUUUUUCUCCCACUGAAACUGUGGGUGGAGGUCUGCGUUUGCAUCCUUACUCUGUAACUAUUCUCUGUUCCUGGCCAAAGCAGAAAUGGUUAGGAUUGUGAUCCUGAGCCUGCUUGAAUAACCACUUAAUAAAUGUUAUGGUUUUCUCAUUAUAGACAUGAGUUUCAGAUCUGAGAUUCAGGUGUCUCCAUAGCUCUUUCCUAGGCUCUACAUGAUUAUAUUAGCUUGUGGCUCUAGUCCUGAAAAGAGUGUAAUUUCAUCCUCACAUUUCCAAAGAUUAAUCUCUUCUCAUUAAAAAUAAGGGGUCACAUCACGUUGCAAAAAAAAUAGUAACAUACAUCUGAAUUUCCCACCCAUGUGAGCAGUGGAAAAAUGAACAGGAGAGGGAAGGAGUCAUCACAUCAUAUACUUAACUCAUCUAAAUCUGGAUGCUUAAAUUAGGUUCCUCCACCAAAUGGAAUCAGGAUGAGUCAUCUCUUUCACUGUUAGGAAAGCCAAGAGAGAUUAGGCUCCUAAUUUAUUUAUCAAAAUAUUUGAUUGUAUUUGAUUAUGUAUCAAAUACCUUAAAAAGGUGCUCCGAAUAUCUUGCCUUCUCCCCAGCCUCUCAACUUCUUAAGCUAUUAACUUACUGAGCCUGAUGAACUUUCAGAAGUACACCAGAACAACUUCUCUUGAGCUCUAGACCAUUGGGACACAACAAAGAAACAUAAAGAAAGCCGAGAUGGAAAAAUUUUCAGAAAAAAAAUUCCAGAGCUGAAGAGGAGAAGCAGCGGAUAUGCAUCACAGCCACAACAGUAGCUACUGCUCUCAGCCCACAUGAACUAUGAGAGCCUAAUGAGCAAAAGUGGCCAGUCACUUCAUAAAUAUUUGGGCUGAAGGACUGAAGAAGGUCGUGUUUUGAAGAACUGACUACAGACAAUUGAUCAUGAUGGGGGUAACAAGGUAUUUCUAGGAGGCAAAAGUGUGACUCCAGCAGAGCAAGGUUGGCAGGAGCUGUCAUGGAAAGGGCCACCAAGCCUACGGUCCUCACAAGUGGAUGCCCAGCAUGCCUUGUGGAGCCGUAAGGGCUCCAAUGCUGUGACAGACAUUGGCUUCAGCAGCCUAAGUGUUGCAGGAACCUUUAAUCUGAAUCUAGCUAGAUGAAAGCUGCUACACGUAUAACUAGCAAACUUUGAUUACAGUGUAGUUAUCUUCAAAAAUAGAUCAUCUUGGGAACCAAGGUCAAGAUGUGAUUGUAAGAAUUAGAGCCUUUCCUAAAAGUGCUGAGGAAAACAAGAACACAAACCGAAAAACCUGUUGAUUCUUCCAUUUUAAUCCUGAUGACUGGCUACAUCAAACUGAUCUGCCGGGAGCCAUCACAGAUAAAUCCACAAUAAAGGAAACACUGUGGACCGGCAGCAGACACAACAGAAACCUUCCCAGAGGAGAGAAGAGGUUGCUGUUCCCCACCACCACAUUCCUGGGCAGCAGCCACAUACCGGAGAGGCAAAUCACCUGCCAGAGGUGCUUAGUGGUCAGAGUAAGUUUUCUAUCACUUUCGGAUUCGUGUAGUCUUUGAAGCCCUUCACUCAGGUUUACCCACAGGUCUGUACCUCCAAUCUUUCCUCACAUACACAGUCUUGUGAAAGAGGGAACAAUUCUGCCUUUAUAAGUGUUUUUGACCACAGCUUAACUUAACUGACUGCAGUGGAAAUUCUCUAGAUUUGCACCGCUGUGAACUAAAUCAGGCUUGGGGGAUCUGUGUGUGUGGGUUAUAGACUCCUUAAUUGCCUGUGGGCAGCAUUGUCCUCUGACUCAGAAAUAUCUUUGCCUUGGGAAAAAAUAAUAUACCCCCCCAAAAUUCUUGUCUGUCUCUGUUGACAGACACAAUCUCUUUAAUGUUGCCCUGCAUUUGUCUUAACACAAUUUAUUGGACAAACGGCAAAAAAGGCUGUUAGUUGUUUCCACUGAAAUUUGUGAGUGAUAAACAUAUCUGUUAUACUCCUGUACAGUAACUGGGCACAUUUUUGAUUAAAUGGUCCCCUAAUUCAAAAGCAUCUCACCUGCUCCCAAUAUGACAUCAAUAAAAAUGUAGCUAUGUGCUGUGUUUCUGGCAUAGUUUCAGCUCUUCCACAUUACUUAAAUCGUGAGCAUAUAUUCCAGUUAGCUUAGGCUUCAGGCUUUAAAAGCUCAGUGUGAGUAAUGAAGGGAAAGCAAUCUGAUUAGCUGGUGGAGCUGACUAAAAGGCACCUUCAUUACAAAGGAGCUUAAAAAAGGAAUAAAACUAUAUAAAAUGGAUUAAAGGUAUAAUAAUGAUGAUAGUAUCAAACAGCAUAACAAAGAAAAAUGUCUGCAUUCAACUGAAAUUAAUAUUUAAUAGAUGGUACAGGCAUGUUCAUGGCUUUAUAUUCUUCUGUUUUAAUGAUCUUAACCACAGCUUGAGGUCCUUUGUCUUGUCCCCCUCUACUGACAUCAGCUGGAAGAGACAGAGAUUAAAAACAAGGGUAAUUUCCCCAUGGUCAUUGCUUGGCACUAUUUCUGCUUUGCUCAGCCAUGAACUGAAGUUUAAAGGAUGAAGUGCUGUCAGUCAGACUGAUUCUUGCCUCCAACCUAUCUUACCUGGGUUAACCACUCAGCUAGUCACCAAGGAAGCUCCUUUGCCCAUCUUACAACCACCCCACAGCCUCAUGUUGAGAACGUCACCAUAAUCUCAUUAGGAGGUUGAAUUUGCCAUUGAAGCUUGAAUUCCCCUAACAGGAGGGGAGUGGACUAAUGCAAUUAAGCAAAUUAGCGUUUUGAGCCACUGCAUGGUAUCUGUCCAAUACCAUGAGCAAAGAGUAGGUAGUUUUCUUCCUUUCUUAAAAAAAAAAAAAAAAAAGGAAAUCAAACAACAAAACCAAUACUCCAGUCCUCUCUCCAUGUUAUGUUCGGGGAAAUAGUGCAGUCCCCUGUCAUCUGUAAAGGUCUUUACAAAUGGGAAGGUUAUUAUUCACUUGACCAAAAACUUGAAUUGUUUCCCUUUAUUUUUCCAAGUGCUCCCAUCCCAGUAGUUCUGAUUAUUCUUAUCAGUGUAAUGUUUAUGCUUCUAAGGGUAAAGUGGAUAAACCCAGAACAUUUUGUUCUUCUCUUAUGGUAUGUAACAGUGGUUACAAGAUAAGAACAGAACUCCUGUUGAUUUCAAAUCUAUUCUGAUAUGAAGUGCUUCUUAAGUGCUAUGAAUAACUAUUUUAAAAUACACCAGAUUUUCAGGAGAUAAUUCUGGCAUAUUCAGUAAUUCUCUAGAAAGGCAGAUUAUUAAAUGCCUAAGGCAGCGCUUUUCUGCCUUUUGUUGUGGGGUUUUGAGGCUAAUCCAGUUCCCUCCUCCCUCCCUCACUCUGCCAAGUAAACAAAGCCGCAAGAGCGGACUGUAGCGAGAAUCAGGAACUAUGAAUCUUUGAAUAAUAUUCUGGCACGUGAGUUUCCAGAGGCAACAUAUUUCUCUUAGAGUACUGGGGAGAGAGAGAGGGAGAGAGGGAAGGAAGGGAGCAGUGGUACCCUCCUGAGGAUAAUGCUGCUGUCUCCAUUACAGCAUUUCUUCCUGGGGAGGUAGAAGAUGGAAUGACACGGGUAGGAUCUAGAAGCCUCUUAUGCAUUUUGAUUACCAGAGAGCUUAUGCCGCUGGCUGCUUGCUGCCUUCAUCUUUGAAUGGGAAAGGCAGGAAUAACAAGUGUAUUUUAGUAGAUGUUAUUGUGCUACCACUCAUCUCCUCACAAACAAAUCACAGUCUGCCACCAGGCACUGGAAUCAGAAGGAGCAAGAACAUGGGUUAUUACUAAAUAAGGGCAUUGGUUAUACACUCAACUUUUUGUAAUACAUGGUUCCUACCAUAAGCUGCUUACAAAAUAGAUAUAUAUUAUGUAGGCAGUAUACAUAGUCCCAAAGGAUAGCGUAAUCUUAGUAGUUUUUCCUGAAAAUGCAAGGGACUUCAAGACUGAGUCAGUACUGAGAAUAUCUGUCACAAACUUGAAAAUAGAAUGUAGUAUAGAUAAUGCUGCAGUUAUUUGAAAAGCAUCACAAAGCUCAGUAUUUCAGUAGUCACAAAAUCCCAAAAUGUCAGAGCUGAGCUGGUACUGAAGAGAAGCUGAAAUGUGCUGAAACAGAAAAUACAGUACUGAGGCUUACAAACAAAAUGAGCUCUGCACUGUGAUGGCAAUAGCCAUACAGUUUGGAUUAAAGUAUUUUGAUAUUUAUAGUAUCCGAUCAGAUGAGGACAAAUUAAAAAAAAAAGAAUUAUGUUUUAAAAUACCUUUUUAGCUCCUGAUACCAUCACAAGAUAGAACCAGGGGUUGAAUUAUUUUCCUAUGUAAGUUCUUACAUAACAUCACUGUAAAGUGGUCCUGGUUUGCCUAUUUAUUUUUUUCCUUUUAUCAUGUUUGGAUUUAAAUGUAGCCCUAAUCCUGCAUAUCCUCUUUGAAAAGCUUAGAUCCAUAAUGUAUUGUGUAGUAUUCUUUAAAACGCUUUGCUCUAUAGUAUGGGGUAGCCUUCAGUUAACAAUAUAGAUUUCAAUUCUUAACCUUACAUGUGAUAGUUUUGAUUGGAUUAUAUUCUUCAUUUAAUACAGUGUAAAAUUUCAAAUAUGCAUACUAAUUGAGACAAAUGAUACCCAGCAAAAAUAUUAGCAUUAUUUAAUAUCACAUAUCAGAUAAAACAUCCAGUAGCAACACAUAUUUAGGGGCAAAUUCACCAAGAUACCAAAAACCAAAAAGUAAAGCAUAUCAUCUGGGAAUACUGAGUUUACAGCUUAUAUUUUCCUAUGAAUUUUCCCCAAUAGUUUAUAUUUUCCUCUGUUCAGAGAAACAUUACCAAGCCAUUGAGACAAAGACUGAGAAUCUGACCUCUAACUUUGGCGCUGAUCUCUGAGGUUGCAGGACUGUUGUGAUGGUACAAAUAUUAUAUGAAAUGAGGGAAUUCCUAGUCUAUUCCUAAUUUUGCAUCAAACUAGUCAGUACAUAUUCUUGAAAAUUCUUCAAGGGCAAACACCAUUAGUGUGCCAUUUUGGGGAAAAAAAAAAAAAAGAGAGAUUGAAGCCAUAUUUUGUAUCUAUCAUGAAAGGCAACUUUAUUUGAAGGGCUGUGAAUGUGAAUGGGUAUUACUUGCUCUGAAGGAGGUAAGGUAGGAAAACACUGCCAAGUACCCAUGAUUAGGUUUUCCUGGUCACCUUGUUUCAUCCCACAGUGAGGUACUUCACUGAGUACCUGUUACCUUUUUCCCCUUCCUUCCCUGUUCUCUUUUUGAUGGUAUAUUUCCCAGCAAUGAGAUUUUCCAUCACGCAAGGUUUCAAUAGGUAGUUUACACAGCUCUCCUCUACUACAGAUCAGGCAUAAAAUACAUACCAAAAUGCAGCUUUGCAUCUGCAUCUCUGCCUUGACCUACUGCCAGACUUAAACAUAAUGGUUUCAAACUCUAUGGGCCUACGGCAUCUUUCUUACCCUGAUUAUAUUUUGUGCUUGGAAAGAAGCAGGAAGCAUGGGUAACCCCACAAAGCUGGGAAGACAAGACCUUAAAAAUUAUGCUGCAGGCAGGAAGGAUUUGAAGAGAGGACUAAUGUGGCCCAAAGGACAGAGGGGAUUUUAAUACUUCAAAUGAGCAGGAGUUGGAGAGGGGAGGGGAGGGGAGGGGAGGAAGAAGGAGAUAAACAAAUGCAGGGACAUGCUUCAGGGAAAGCUUCAUAAAAGAAGAGAAUCUAAAUGCUGAAAAUGAACCUGCCUUUUUAUCCUCUUUUUGUAUUUCAUGCAGUCACAUGAGCAUAAUAGCCGUUCAUCUAGACCGCAGGAUUCAUUAAUAACUUUUUCAUCUUUUGUGACGUCUGUUAAAAUAGUACAUGGCUUUGACUCCUGAGAUGGUGAACUCUUGUCUUGAAUGGAAAAAGGAUGGUGUACAGAGUCCAAAAUUAAAGGAACUAAAGAGAGCUUACGAACUGUGAUAAGCUUAAAAAUAAUUAUCAACAAGUACCAAUUUGGUAGAUCUUAAAGACCUCUCUUGGUCUUCAGUGGAGAACAGGAGUGUUAUAAAAAUAGAUAAACAUCUCUGGAAUGUGGCAACCCAGAUUUUUAGUACAAAAGUCCAAAAGAAAUGAGGAGGCAACUUCUUGUGUGGCGUGCAGAGACACUGCCACGUCUGAAUCCAUUGUUCUUGAUGGACAGCAAAAAGUAUGAGUCUGGUGUGCAUUCUUCUUCAUUCAAGCGAUGUCUGUCAUGCUAUAGUGCUUUAUAUUAUUGUUCACUGUUUAUUGCUAAAGGGAAGUGUCCCAAUUUUAAUAUCAGUGCUAUGCCUGAAUAAAUCCCACAUGUCUGUUUUUUGGGAAAAAUAACAUUGAUUCAUGUAGAGAAGGUGACUAACAGCAAAGCAGAAUAUGAGGGGAAAAAAAAUAAAAAUAAUGGAUCCUUAGUGUUCCUUCCUUUGCAGGAAAGGCUCUAGUUAUGAUGCAAAUGAUACAAAAUUAAUGUAUCCAUGAAUUAAAAAUGAGAGGUGGCAUAAACGUAAACUCACUUCUGUUCAAAUGGAACUGCACUACCAUGCUUCUCAUGAAUUGCCACAUUGUGCUAGCACUCCUCAGAGCAAAGCUGCUCACCCUUAGAGGGGUAAAUGGCUUCUGCAUCACUGAACGCAGAAAGCAGAGGGGCAUGCUAGUACGACAGAGGUCUGUGAUAUGUGGGGUGGAUUUGUUAGUGGCACUUCCAGCAGGUGUUGUACACAGCCACAGUGUCUCACGGAGCCUCCACCAGCCCCUUCCUCCUCCCUGCCCUCCAUCACCUGGCUAUUCUUCAUCCACUUGGAAAGGGUGUGUCUCUUCACAUUUUGCAAGCAUAUGCAAAACCCAAAUAUGCUGAAUACAUUUUUGAAACAAUUAUUUGCUCAUCUCUAGUCCCCAGUCUUGCAUGGGUCUAAAUUUAAUUUACCACAAGGUUGUCUAUUACAUAAUUUCAUUAAGGUUUUCCUAGUCUGUCACAGUUUUGAGCCACCAGAAUGGUAUUUUACUGUGAGCAGCUUUGGUGAAUGAGGAUGUUCACUUUAUCUUCUAAAUUGCAAGUAAACAGAUUGAAGUUGCCAAUUGUAUUGUGAUAUUCCUUGACAAGUUCAACAAUUAACAGCUUUCCAUUUUUGCCAGUUAUCCCUACAUACUUGCCACCUUACCGUAAACUUUUGGCUCAUGACAAGAUGAAUUGUCGAGAACCUCCAAAGUCAGAUUUUAUCAAAACUCUUCAGAAAAUUUGAAAUAAAUUGUUUAUUGUGCAUUCCAUAAGCUCUUGGUAUUUGGAAGAAAGUUAGUUGUUCUAUGGAAGUCUUAAUGGCUUCAUUUUUUUAUUUCAAAUUAAUGUCUAUGCUACAUCCAAUGCUGAAUCAUCUUCUGUACUCAGAGUGGUAGCUGGUUUGUGAUUUCACUUCUGUGCUGACACCCCCUCUUGGAAGCAGAAAUCUUCCUACUCUUUUUUUCCUCUGGGCUUAAUCUAGUCUUACCCAAGCAGUCACAAGCUGUGCCACCAUAGUCAAUAGAUUUAACCUUCUGCAGGGAAACAAACAGCAGAGCCAGCACAUGCAGAGUUCCAGCUCACACUCCAGCCUGCACUCCCAGAUCAUUCAUACGGCCCAGCUAGGUAGAGAUGAGCAAACCACCCAGCCCACCAC